UCUCACAUUAUGGUUUCCUAGU
rnacentral:piRNA from 1 species